rnacentral:rRNA from 1 species
UACAGAGGUCCCAAGCGUUGUCCGGAUUCACUGGGCGUAAAGGGUGCGCAGGUGGGUUGGCAAGUUCGAUGUGAAAGCCCCGGGCUUAACCCGGGAAUGGCAUUGGAUACUGUUGAUCUGGAGGGUCGGAGGGGGGACUGGAAUUCUUGGUGUAGCAGUGAAAUGCGUAGAUAUCAAGAGGAACACCAGUGGCGAAGGCGAGUCCCUGGACGAUACCUGACACUGAGGCACGAAAGCCAAGGGAGCAAACAGG